GCAGUUGGUCGGUUUAGAGCUGCACAGGGCCCCAGAUGUAUGAGAGAGCAGGCACUGACUAUCAGGGGUGUCCUGAGGGAGCUGCAUUUUGGAGACCAGGGUGGCAUGAGACAGAGCUGCCUGAGGCACUGAUUGGGUAGUGCUGAGGAUCAAGGCCGUUCCUCCCUCAAAGUCAGCCAUACUUGGAUAUGGACCCAGGGAACUGAGUGAAAAAAAAGUGAAAAAGAGACUAGCUAUUUGAGCCGCUAGAUUAUUUUCUUCAGCAAAACACUCAGGGCGAGUGUGACUAUAUUCAGCAGCUCCCAGCUCUACAUUAUAAGUGCAAAACAUUGUCUGGCACCUGUGGGUAAUUAAAUGACCAGCUCCUGCUCCCUCCAUACCCAAAGGCUGCGAGAGAAUUCUGCAAUCACCAUACAAAGCCAAACAGCCGGAGGAGGUCGAGCAAAAUAAUACGGAACAAUUACCUGGCGCACUCUCCGCACUCCCUCUACGUCUAACAACGGACAGCGUAUUUUGCUUUUUACACAGAGACAUGCAUUGGACAGAGAUGGAGCAUAACGCUGUAGUUAUCUUGGUUGGAAUACAGCGUCCUCCCUCUGCCAGUCCGCUAGUAUUAUUCAUCUAUAACGGAGCUGAGUGAAAAGAAGGCUGGAUGGCCCAGAGACAGACCAGGGGGCAGGCAAGGAAGCAAAACAUUGUCCAAAGCUGAUACCCCAGUGACAGAGAGCCAGCGCUGAGGAGAAUUGAGUGCACUGCCCAGCUGAUUGGUGUCACCAGGGGGAGAGACAUUUGAUUGCAGCAUCAGAAGGGUGAUCUCAUCUGGAACAGCUGAGUGAAAAGAAGGCUGGAUGGCCCAGAGACAGACCAGGGGGCAGGCAAGGAAGCAAAACAUUGUCCAAAGAUGAUACCCCAGUGACAGAGAGCCAGCGCUGAGGAGAAUUGAGUGCACUGCCCAGCUGAUUGGUGUCACCAGGGGGAGAGACAUUUGAUUGCAGCAUCAGAAGGGUGAUCUCAUCUGGAACAGGUCUGUGUAUUCCUGAGCACACCUCCUCCUCACCUCACACAGGCAGCCCUAGCAUCACACAGCAAAGACACUGUCAGAGCUGCAGCAUAUACCCCACAAAUAGAAGACUCAAUGGCAAUUGAUGGCUGAGAUAGCUGCUCACAUUAAUCCCAACACUAAGUAUAUAACCCUGCCUGCAUAAGCUGGGUAACUAAAGUGCAGACACCCUGUGUAGCCAUUGGAAAAGACUGUAGAGACUCUAUCAGCUGCUACAACUAGGAACACAGAUAGUGUGAAGGAGUUACUUUUUAUACCAAAUGUUGCAUCUAAUA